AACGAACGCUGGCGGCAUGCCUAACACAUGCAAGUCGAACGAGACCUUCGGGUCUAGUGGCGCACGGGUGCGUAACGCGUGGGAACCUGCCUUUAGGUUCGGAAUAACUCAGAGAAAUUUGAGCUAAUACCGGAUGAUGUCUUCGGACCAAAGAUUUAUCGCCUUUAGAUGGGCCCGCGUUGGAUUAGCUAGUUGGUGGGGUAAAGGCCUACCAAGGCGACGAUCCAUAGCUGGUCUGAGAGGAUGAUCAGCCACACUGGGACUGAGACACGGCCCAGACUCCUACGGGAGGCAGCAGUGGGGAAUAUUGGACAAUGGGCGAAAGCCUGAUCCAGCAAUGCCGCGUGAGUGAUGAAGGUCUUAGGGUUGUAAAGCUCUUUUACCCGAGAUGAUAAUGACAGUAUCGGGAGAAUAAGCUCCGGCUAACUCCGUG
rnacentral:rRNA from 1 species